CUAAGCUUCGUAGCCCUCGAAAUACAGGGAGUGCCCCCUCUGGACCCUCGAGCCCACAGUCCAUCCACCACAGAGGUGUCUGCUGCUCAUCAGAUAGUUCCUACCAAGAAAAUGCUGUGUGAACCCAUCUGUGUGGCAAACCGGCACGGGGAGAAAGCUGACUUCCAAGGACGUCUACCAACUGUCACUUGCAAACCAGAACUUGCCUCUUUGUAGAUGAAGACUGGCAGGGCUGAAGAAAUGAUCUCAUGUUGAAAUUAAUGAUGAGCUUCAGGGUUUGCCCUAAUGAGAUGCCUGACUUUAAUAAGAGAAGAAACCAUCAGUGUUUGCAAAGCCCCCUCAGUGUGCCUCACACUCCCUCUUCAGGCACAGCAGGCAUCUUCUCUGAGUGCCAGGGCCCCGGUGACCACACACCCACAUACACGGACCACCCACUCAACCCCUCAGGGAACACUGCCACCCCCACUUGCUACAUCAACUGCCUUUUCACCUUGUUUAGAAGCAAAAGUCAACUCAGGGGCCAGGAGACCCUGGGCAUGGGGCUAGGUCUGGGCAAGGUCUCGAGUCAGGGAGAGAGGGGCAAGGAGCCAUGUGCCUGGAGUGAGGCUGUGUCCCUGCCCUGGGCAAGUCAGGGUGGCUGGAACCUGCCCUUCUGGAGUGGGCCCCUCGAACUUGUUAGAGUACUUAUAACCUCCUGUCUGCACCCAGAAAACCCGCCCAGGAAGCAUUUCAUGUGGUGAAGAGAGAUUCCAAACUGGAACUUGGAGGCUCGUUCCCAGCCCCUCUCUGACGCCGAUUUCUUGAGUUGAUUUUGCCUGUGCAUUGAGCAGUUGGGGCUACAUAAGGUUUACAGGAUUCUAAAAAAUUAUCAUGACAUAUGUCAGGCAUACCAAAAGUGUAAUGAGUCAUAGAAUAAACACCUAGGCACACCCCUACUCAGCUGAAGAAGUAAAACAGUAUCAAGGUAGUGGAAAUCCCUCCUGCAUCCCUCUUCCCCCUCCCCAGUCUCCCACAACCCUUCCCCACCCCACUCGCAGUGGGGAGAAGCAUGGCCCUCAGCUCUCUUUAU
rnacentral:lncRNA from 1 species